AGGAACUCCAGGCAGUGCUUGCACCCCAGAUAUCAAUUAGAAUGAAUCAAAGUGCAUUGUGGAAGGGCCAGCCUUGAGUGUCCAAGUUCAGGGGGAACUCAUGGGUCCCAAGGCAAGACUCACAAGAGGGGGCAGAACUUAAAUUCUAGGAACAAGUGCAAGUGCAAUAGAAGGGGUUAGGGGGUGCCAAAGCAGGCUGGUGGUCAUGCCCAACCAUAUGGUAGGCUGGCACACCCCUGACCAGCCUGCCAACCAAUAAAUUAUGAGUAAAGACCCAUUGAAGGUCAGACUAUGUUCUGGACAGUGAUUAGGACGCCGCCAGACCAAAGUCUCAAACCCAACAUACAUAUAAAUGUGAAUGGGGAUGGGAAUUGAAAGAGUUUAGGACCCAAGAGGGUCCAGUUCAUGUCCAUGGACAAUAACAUCAAGUAGUGCCAUGUUUUUGAACUAUAACUCAACCACAUAGAGGGGAUUAAGGUUUGGGAUUCAUAUAAGAAUAGGAACAGUGAAAGUAAAACUUGCAGAAAGUUACAGCAUGUAGACAGUAAAUAAAAAAAGGAACAGACUAUAGAAUAAACACAUAGGGGAGAGGUAGGAAUUAAACAUAAGAACAUACCAGUUGUGGAAAAGUAAACAAAGAAAAGUAGGAUCCUUUCAAGCAAAGCACAAUCAGAGAAAACCUUUAUGUUUGUGAGUUCAGAGAAUUCGAGUUUUUGUGAAAAAAUCUAAUUAUAUUUGCAAGUAUUCAGUGAAUGUAAUCAGAAUUGGUCGUGUAUUAAAGUGUACAAGGGUAUCCCCUUUUAUAGUACAGAGAGGUAAGUAAAGAAGGCAAGAAGAUAUCACUGAAAUCAGACUCCCUUGUUUAAGGGAUUCUGAUUCCAACGGGUGAAAACAAGCUACGGAAAGAAAACUAGGUAAAAACCUUUCAAAGUAUCACAAAAGGGGUAAGUACAUAAAAGUUAUUUAAGAAAAACAAUCAACGGUACACAAUUUGUGCCAAAUAUGGUAAAGGAAUCAAGUAAGCAGUCAUGAAUCCAAAAUUGC
rnacentral:lncRNA from 1 species